AUGUGGCUACUGAUCAAGAUCAUCCACCACAUGAUCAAGUUCAAAGGGGCCAUCGCGAAGCUCGAGGAGGCAGCGGCACGCGCCCACGGCCGUCCGGCGAGGCUGGACCGGCUGCGAUCGGCCUGCCGCCACCUGACAGGCGUGGACAGCCACCUCACCAGAAUGCACGACUUCCUCGAGAGCGACCUCCCCGGCGGCGACCGCCUGGGGAUCUGGGGCCGGCGGGGCGCCGGCAAGACGUCGCUCCUCACGCCGCUCCAGCAGACCAAGCCGUACCACGCGCUCUUCGACCGCGUGCUCUACUUCGCGCUGGGCGGCAGCUCCUCGGUGACGGACGUGCAGCACUGCAUCGGCAUCUGCCUGGGCUACAGCUACGGCGUGGUGACCUUCCUGCUGCUGCUGGACGGGCUGGGGGCGCCCGUUGACCUGGCGGCGGCCGGCGUUCCGAUGCCGCUCGGGAAGGGCGGCCGGCGGCAGAAGGUGGUCGUGGCCUCGGAGAUCCCGGACGUGUGCGCCCUCAUGGGGUGCACCGCGGACAACGUCGUCGAGAUCGGGUGCCUGGGGGAAGACGACGCGUGGGGCCUCUUCAGAGACUGCGUUGGGGAUAAAAUCUUCCAAGAUUCUCGGAUUCGGCCGCUCGCCAAGGAGAUGGUUGAAGCCUGUGGAGGGUUGCCACUGGCACUAAGGAUGUUUGAUUGCCCGAUGUCUGCUAUACAAGAUGCAGAUGAAUGGAGGUAUAUGCAUAAGUAUCUUAAGGCCCGGCUUCCAUUGUCACAUGAACAACUUUUAGAUUUGUUAGAUAAUAUCGGGCACUGGUAA
rnacentral:rRNA from 1 species